AUUAGACUGAGCUGGGCCUGGAGGCUUGAGGUCCUGUCGACGAGGAGAGCGAUAUCUCAAUGUAUGAAUCUGUGGGUUUUCUGUGUGCCCUUGCAGCCCUGGGGACCCUCAUGGCCCUUGGUGAGCCCACACUGAAGGAGAAGAACCAAGAGGCAGCCAAGGAUCUAGAUUCAGGCUGCAGAAAAGUCUUGCUACUGCAGAGAUUACAGUUCGGGUCAGCUGAGUAGACCCUGGGUGUAGGGCGCAGAGCAUGACGGGAACGAGAGGUGAUUUCCGUAAGCAGGCUCCAAGGUGCCACCACCAAGCCCAGGAGUAUCUUUCCCACUUUGCCGACUUCC
rnacentral:lncRNA from 1 species